CCUACGGGUGGCUGCAGUGGGGGAUAUUGCACAAUGGGGGAAACCCUGAUGCAGCGACGCCGCGUGGGUGAAGAAGCGCCUCGGCGCGUAAAGCCCUGUCAGCAGGGAAGAAAAUGACGGUCGCUGAAGAAGAAGCCCCUGCUAACUACGUGCCAGCAGCCGCGGUAAUACGUAGGGGGCAAGCGUUAUCCGGAUUGACUGGGUGUAGCGGGGGCGCAGACGGCGAUGCAAGACAGGAGGGAAGGCCGGGGGCCCAACCCCGGGACUGCUCUUGGAACUGCGUGGCUGGAGUGCAGGAGGGGCAGGCGGAAUUCCUGGUGUAGCGGUGAAAUGCGUAGAUAUCAGGAGGAACAACGGUGGCGAAGGCGGCCUGCUGGACUGCAACUGACGUUGAGGCCCGAAAGCGUGGGGAGCAAACAGGAUUAGAUACCCGGGUAGUC
rnacentral:rRNA from 1 species